CAGCAGCCGCGGUAAUACGUAGGUCCCGAGCGUUGUCCGGAUUUAUUGGGCGUAAAGCGAGCGCAGGCGGUUAGAUAAGUCUGAAGUUAAAGGCUGUGGCUUAACCAUAGUACGCUUUGGAAACUGUUUAACUUGAGUGCAAGAGGGGAGAGUGGAAUUCCAUGUGUAGCGGUGAAAUGCGUAGAUAUAUGGAGGAACACCGGUGGCGAAAGCGGCUCUCUGGCUUGUAACUGACGCUGGGGCUCGAAAGCGUGGGGAGCAAACAGGAUUAGAUACCCCAGUAGUCCCUGUCUCUUAUACA
rnacentral:rRNA from 1 species